UGGGGAAUCUUCCGCAAUGGGCGAAAGCCUGACGGAGCAACGCCGCGUGAGUGAAGACGGCCUUCGGGUUGUAAAACUCUGUGAUUCGGGACGAAAGAUAAGCAGACGAAUAAUCUGCAUAAGUGACGGUACCGAAAAAGCAAGCCACGGCUAACUACGUGCCAGCAGCCGCGGUAAUACGUAGGUGGCAAGCGUUGUCCGGAAUUAUUGGGCGUAAAGCGCGCGCAGGCGGCUACUUAAGUCCAUCUUAAAAGUGCGGGGCUUAACCCCGUGAUGGGAUGGAAACUGAGAAGCUGGAGUGUCGGAGAGGAAAGUGGAAUUCCUAGUGUAGCGGUGAAAUGCGUAGAUAUAUGGAGGAACACCAGUGGCGAAGGCGACUCUCUGGUCUGUAACUGACGCUGAGGCUCGAAAGCGUGGGUAGCAAACAGG
rnacentral:rRNA from 1 species